rnacentral:rRNA from 1 species
GUGGGGAAUAUUGGACAAUGGGCGAAAGCCUGAUCCAGCAAUGCCGCGUGAGUGAUGAAGGCCUUAGGGUUGUAAAGCUCUUUUACCAGGGAUGAUAAUGACAGUACCUGGAGAAUAAGCUCCGGCUAACUCCGUGCCAGCAGCUGCGGUAAUACGGAGGGAGCUAGCGUUGUUCGGAAUUACUGGGCGUAAAGCGCACGUAGGCGGUUACUCAAGUCAGAGGUGAAAGCCCGGGGCUCAACCCCGGAACUGCCUUUGAAACUAGGUAACUAGAAUCUUGGAGAGGUCAGUGGAAUUCCGAGUGUAGAGGUGAAAUUCGUAGAUAUUCGGAAGAACACCAGUGGCGAAGGCGACUGACUGGACAAGUAUUGACGCUGAGGUGCGAAAGCGUGGGGAGCAAACAGGAUUAGAUACCCUUGUAGUCC